CCUACGGGUGGCAGCAGUGAGGAAUAUUGGUCAAUGGACGAGAGUCUGAACCAGCCAAGUCGCGUGAGGGAUGAAGGCCCUAUGGAUUGUAAACCUCUUUUAUAAGGGAAUAAAGCGAGGGACGUGUGCCGUUUUGUAUGUACUUUAUGAAUAAGGAUCGGCUAACUCCGUGCCAGCAGCCGCGGUAAUACGGAGGAUCCGAGCGUUAUCCGGAUUUAUUGGGUUUAAAGGGAGCGUAGAUGGGUUGUUAAGUCAGUUGUGAAAGUUUGCGGCUCAACCGUAAAAUUGCAAUUGAUACUGGCAGCCUUGAGUACAGUUGAGGUAGGCGGAAUUCGUGGUGUAGCAGUGAAAUGCUUAGAUAUCACGAAGAACUCCGAUUGCGAAGGCAGCUUACUAAACUGCCACUGACAUUGAUGCUCGAAAGUGUGGGUAUCAAACAGGAUUAGAUACCCGUGUAGUC
rnacentral:rRNA from 1 species